CUUUUGCAACUUGAACUGCUCUGUCAGGUCAAAAUGAACACUUCUGCCUUUUACAGAAGUAGGAUGAGAAACAUAAGGAAGGAAUCUUUGGUGGAAAACAGACUCCCGCGCCCUGAAGCCUUAGCAAAAAGGUGAACAAAAGCUAGCACUACGAAGAAGCGCAUGGUCACGAAAAAAGCGGCAAAUACCCUGUUUACUGUGACUACUAGAGCUCCACUCCAACAGAGACAGACUGUG